AGUCUAAGAGGUUUUUUGCUCCUUUUUAAAGCAGUGGGGGAAGAGGGUGUGGUCUCUGGCCAGGAAGCAGAUGAAACAUGUUGGUUUCAGAGACUAAAUUCAUCUCAGGGGCAAACAGCAUUCCUCAUUUGAGGCUACCAUGUACAACAGGCUCCUCUGCUCUGUUGUUCUUUUGCUUCUCAGAGUAGGCCUUAAGGAUGCUGCAGUCACACAGUUCCCAAGGCGCAGGAUCUUGGAGGCUGAAAAGGAAUUGACUCUACAGUGUUCUCAGAAAAUGAAUCAUUAUGCAAUGUACUGGUAUCGCCAAGAUCCGGGAUUUGGACUUCGGCUGAUCUAUUACUCAACUGGCCCUGACUCCUUUAAGAAAGGAGAUGUCCCUGAGGGGUAUCACGUCUCUCGAGAUGAGUUGGAACAUUUCCCCCUGACCCUGAAGUCUGCCAGCCCCAACCAGACAUCUGUGUACUUCUGUGCCAGCGCUGAAUCCACAGCAUGGCACGGCUGCUUCCUCUCUGCACAAAAAGAGAGGCAGACUGAGGUCCUCAAGAUUCCUGACCCCAACUAGAAGUUUUUCAAAAGC